rnacentral:guide_RNA from 1 species
AUAAAUCAAUAACGAGAGACACUAUAAAGAGAGAAAGUGAGAAUAUAU